AUGCAGCAGUGGCAGUUAAAGUCAGAAUCGAUGCUCUGUCAGGAACUGCGCUGUAUGAAUGAGCUCAAUAACGAUGUUCCUGUCAGUUUGGCAGUCACCGAGGACAGGCAUUUCGAAGGUGAAUCUUGGACUUGCCCAAUCAUUAUUUUUCAGGAAGAGUUGUUGGGCGGUGUCCCCACAGUUGAGGAGCCCAUUCCGGUAGAUGGCAACCCACACCCAAGACCUCCUGAGCAGCAUCACCAUCCGAAUCAGCACAACCUCUUCUUUGGACCUGUACCGCAGCAUGAUAACAACGAGCAGCCUGAGAAUGCUCAAGAUGUUUAG
rnacentral:rRNA from 1 species